AGUGGCGCACGGGUGAGUAACGCGUGGGUAAUCUACCUCCGAAUUGGGGAUAACAUUGCGAAAGCGGUGCUAAUACCGAAUAAUAUCCUCAAGACCCCGGUCUUGGAGAUCAAAGGUGGCCUCUACAUGUAAGCUACUGUUUGGAGAUGAGCCCGCGUACCAUUAGCUUGUUGGUAGGGUAACGGCCUACCAAGGCUGCGAUGGUUAGCUGGUCUGAGAGGAUGAUCAGCCACACUGGAACUGACACACGGUCCAGACUCCUACGGGAGGCAGCAGUGAGGAAUUUUGCGCAAUGGGGGAAACCCUGACGCAGCAACGCCGCGUGAGUGAUGAAGGCCUUCGGGUCGUAAAGCUCUGUCAAGUGGGAAGAACCUGCCCGAUGUUAAUACCAUUGGGCAUUGACGGUACCACUGAAGGAAGCACCGGCUAACUCCGUGCCAGCAGCCGCGGUAAUACGGGGGGUGCUAGCGUUAUUCGGAAUCAUUGGGCGUAAAGGGCGCGUAGGCGGUCUUUUAAGUCAGGUGUGAAAGCCCUCGGCUUAACCGAGGAAGUGCAUUUGAUACUAAAAGACUUGAGUAUGGGAGAGGGAAGCGGAAUUCCUGGUGUAGCGGUGAAAUGCGUAGAUAUCAGGAGGAACACCGGUGGCGAAGGCGGCUUCCUGGACCAAUACUGACGCUGAGGCGCGAAGGCGUGGGGAGCA
rnacentral:rRNA from 1 species